GUCCACGCCAUAAACGAUGAAUACUAGGUGUUGGAGGAUUUAAACCCUUCGGUACCGAAGCUAACGCGCUAAGUAUUCCGCCUGGGGAGUACGACCGCAAGGUUAAAACUCAAAGGAAUUGACGGGGGCCCGCACAAGCAGCGGAGCGUGUGGUUUAAUUCGAUGCAACGCGAAAAACCUUACCUGGAUUUGACGUGUCCGUAGUAGUGAAGCGAAAGCGGAACGACCCUUCGGGGAGCGGAUGCAGGUGCUGCAUGGCUGUCGU
rnacentral:rRNA from 1 species